UGGGGUGUGGCUCAGUAGAAGAGCACUUGCCUAGUAUGCAUGAGGCCCUGGGUUCCAACCCCAGCACCACAA
rnacentral:tRNA from 2 species